rnacentral:rRNA from 1 species
AGAACUUUCCAGAGAUGGAUUGGUGCCUUCGGGAACUGUGAGACAGGUGCUGCAUGGCUGUCGUCAGCUCGUGUUGUGAAAUGUUGGGUUAAGUCCCGCAACGAGCGCAACCCUUAUCCUUUGUUGCCAGCGGUUCCGGCCGGGAACUCAAAGGAGACUGCCAGUGAUAAACUGGAGGAAGGUGGGGAUGACGUCAAGUCAUCAUGGCCCUUACGACCAGGGCUACACACGUGCUACAAUGGCGCAUACAAAGAGAAGCGACCUCGCGAGAGCAAGCGGACCUCAUAAAGUGCGUCGUAGUCCGGAUUGGAGUCUGCAACUCGACUCCAUGAAGUCGGAAUCGCUAGUAAUCGUGGAUCAGAAUGCCACGGUGAAUACGUUCCCGGGCCUUGUACACACCGCCCGUCACACCAUGGGAGUGGGUUGCAAAAGAAGUAGGUAGCUUAACCUUCGGGAGGGCGCUUACCACUUUGUGAUUCAUGACUGGGGUGAAGUCGUAACAAGGUAACCGUAGGGGAACCUGCGGUUGGAUCACCUCCUUACCUGAAAGAA